rnacentral:lncRNA from 1 species
GCUGUCGAUUGUUGUACCUCGACUAGUGUCUGGUAGCUGCUCGUGUCCAACUCGUCAUCCUUAUGCGGUCCUGGUUGGAAUUAUCUGUUGCGACGUACAAGAGGACUUAAAAUAUCAUCUUGCUACCGUCGGAAUGAGCUGAGAAGUGUGCAGCCACUCUCUGCCGAACAACUCACUGUAGAACCUGCACAUGGGAUGAACAAUCAGUGGUAGGCCACACUUCUCGACAAGAGGCAUUGAGAGUCUGCCUUCUUGAAAUGCUUGAGGUGUAAGGCCCACCAGCCAGGUUCCGUUUCCCGAUUAGACACGUGUUUGAUACCAAGGUAUUCACUGUUUCGGCUGAGGUAACAGCGGCCGCACUGUUGACGGCGCUGCGAUAGACAUUCAUCUACCCCGCGGCUUUGCAACUAUUGCUGUGGUUAGUCUGUGGAUCUGUACACUAAGAUCGCAUGUGUUGCCUCGAGCGAAUAGGUCCGGUACGGACACCAUCGACUCGGCAAGUUGUCUACGUUUCCUUGUGACGAGCGUAAUCUUCCGAAUGAGAGAUAUGGGAUGCCAUGCGUAGUGGCCGAUCUGACUCUAGGAUAUAGGCAAUAUGAGACAUCCGUGCUCAAGUGCAUUCCACAGCAUCUAGAAUCGAUUGUAUUCGCAGAUGUCUCGGAUGUUAUGGUCGGCUAGUGAAGUGACACAGAGCCGGUGGUGCCAACGCGGGAUCGUGUCAACAUUUCGCAACCACUAAGCUUCAAAAUGUUCUGGGGACG